rnacentral:rRNA from 1 species
AGAGUUUGGUCCUGGCUCAGAGUGAACGCUGGCGGUAUGCUUAACACAUGCAAGUCGAACGAGAACGGUAUAUCCUUCGGAAUAUAUGUCAGCUAAGUGGCGCACGGGUGAGUAACACGUAGCUACCAGCCUCAUAGACCGGGAUAACAGUUGGAAACGACUGCUAAUACUGGAUAUACCCUAAGGGGGAAAGAUUUUAUCGCUAUGAGAUGGGGCUGCGGUGUAUCAGUUAGUUGGUGAGGUAAAGGCUCACCAAGACUAUGACGCAUAACUGGUCUGAGAGGAUGGUCAGUCACACUGGAACUGAGACACGGUCCAGACUCCUACGGGAGGCAGCAGUGGGGAAUAUUGCACAAUGGAGGAAACUCUGAUGCAGCAAUACCGCGUGGAGGAAGAAGCAUUUCGGUGUGUAAACUCCUUUUAUAUUCGAAGAUAAUGACGGUAGAAUAUGAAUAAGCACCGGCUAACUCCGUGCCAGCAGCCGCGGUAAUACGGAGGGUGCAAGCGUUACUCGGAGUCACUGGGCGUAAAGAGCGCGUAGGCGGGUUGUUAAGUUGGAAGUGAAAGCCCACAGCUCAACUGUGGAACUGCUUCCAAAACUGGCAACCUAGAAUUUGGGAGAGGUAAGUGGAAUUCCUGGUGUAGGGGUGAAAUCCGUAGAGAUCAGGAGGAAUACCGAAAGCGAAGGCGACUUACUGGAACAAUAUUGACGCUGAUGCGCGAAAGCGUGGGGAGCAA